GACAGAGGGUGCAAACGUUGUUCGGAGUUACUGGGCGUAAAGCGUGUGUAGGCGGCCUCGCAAGUCGGAUGUGAAAGCCCCGGGCUCAACCCGGGAAGUGCACUCGAUACUGCUUGGCUAGAGUCUCGGAGAGGUUGGUGGAAUUCUCGGUGUAGAGGUGAAAUUCGUAGAUAUCGAGAGGAACACCGGUGGCGAAGGCGGCCAACUGGACGAAGACUGACGCUGAGACACGAAAGCGUGGGGAGCAAACAGG
rnacentral:rRNA from 1 species